rfam:Candidatus Photodesmus katoptron Akat1 chromosome II Contig2, whole genome shotgun sequence.
GGUUAAGUAAUUAAGUGUACACCGGUGGAUGCCUUGGCAGUCAGGGGCGAUGAAGGACGUAUUAACUUGCGAUAAGCCUAGAUAAGGAAGUAAAAUCCGCUUGAGUCUGGGAUUUCCGAAUGGGGAAACCUAUACACGCAAGUGUAUAUCAUAAUGUGAAUAUAUAGCAUUAUGAAGUAAAUCGAGGGAACUGAAACAUCUAAGUACCUCGAAGAGUAGAAAUCAAUAUGAGAUUCCGAAAGUAGUGGCGAGCGAAAUUGGAGUAGCCCUUAAACUAUUAAUGUAUUAGGUGAAAGCUCUGGAAAGUGCUGUGAUACAGGGUGAUAUCCCCGUAACCGACAGUACAUUAUUAGUGAAAUCGAGUAAGGCGGGACACGUGAUAUCCUGUUUGAAUAUGGGGGGACCAUCCUCCAAGGCUAAAUACUACUGACUGACCGAUAGUGAACUAGUACCGUGAGGGAAAGGUGAAAAGAACCCCUGUGAGGGGAGUGAAAUAGAACCUGAAACCGUGUACAUACAAGCAGUAGGAGCGCUGUUAUUCAGUGUGACUGCGUACCUUUUGUAUAAUGGGUCAGCGACUUAUAUUCAGUGGCAAGGUUAACUGCAUAAGGGAGCCGAAGGGAAACCGAGUCUUAACUGGGCUAUUUUAGUCUCUGGAUAUAGACCCGAAACCAGGUGAUCUAGCCAUGAGCAGGUUGAAGGUUGAAUAACAUCAGCUGGAGGACCGAACCGACUAAUGUUGAAAAAUUAGCGGAUGACUUGUGGUUAGGGGUGAAAGGCCAAUCAAACCUGGAGAUAGCUGGUUCUCCCCGAAAGCUAUUUAGGUAGCGCCUCGGAUGAAUACUACUGGGGGUAGAGCACUGUUAAGGCUAGGGGGUCAUCCCGACUUACCAACCCUUUGCAAACUCCGAAUACCAGUAAGUAAUGUCCGGGAGACACACGGUGGGUGCUAACGUCCAUCGUGGAAAGGGAAACAACCCAGACCGCCAGCUAAGGUCCCUAAUUUGUAGCUAAGUGGGAAACGAUGUGGGAAGGCUUAAACAGCUAGGAUGUUGGCUUAGAAGCAGCCAUCAUUUAAAGAAAGCGUAAUAGCUCACUAGUCGAGUCGGCCUGCGCGGAAGAUAUAACGGGGCUAAGCUACAAACCGAAGCUGCGGCAAUAUAACCAACUGGUUAUAUUGGGUAGGGGAGCGUUCUGUAAGCUGUUGAAGAUAUGUCGUAAGGCAUGUUGGAGGUAUCAGAAGUGCGAAUGCUGACAUGAGUAACGAUAAUGAGGGUGAAAAACCCUCACGCCGGAAGACUAAGGGUUCCUGUCCAACGUUAAUCGGGGCAGGGUAAGUCGACUCCUAAGGUGAGGCCGAUAGGCGUAAUCGAUGGUAAACGGGUUAAUAUUCCCGUACUUUUUGCAAUUGCGAUGGGGGGACGGAGAAGGCUAGGUGUGCCUGGCGACGGUUGUCCAGGUUCAAAUAUGUAGGCGAAUAGUUUAGGGAAAUCCGGAUUAUUUUACGCUGAGAUAUGAUGUCGAGCUGCUAUGGUAGUGAAGUCAUUGAUGCCAUGCUUCCAGGAAAAUCCUCUAAGCUUACAGAUUGUAAAGAAUCGUACUCUAAACCGACACAGGUGGUCAGGUAGAGAAUACCGAGGCGCUUGAGAGAACUCGGGUGAAGGAACUAGGCAAAUUGGUACCGUAACUUCGGGAGAAGGUACACUUUUAACGGUGAAGUUCUUUGCGAAUAUAGCUGUUGAAAGUCGCAGAUACCAGAUGGCUGCAACUGUUUAUUAAAAACACAGCACUGUGCAAAAUCGUAAGAUGAAGUAUACGGUGUGACGCCUGCCCGGUGCCGGAAGGUUAAUUGAUAAGGUUAGACUUAUAAAAAGUCAAAGCUUUUGAUCGAAGCCCCGGUAAACGGCGGCCGUAACUAUAACGGUCCUAAGGUAGCGAAAUUCCUUGUCGGGUAAGUUCCGACCUGCACGAAUGGCGUAAUGAUGGCCAUGCUGUCUCCACCCGAGACUCAGUGAAAUUGAAAUUGCUGUGAAGAUGCAGUAUACCCGCGGCUAGACGGAAAGACCCCGUGAACCUUUACUACAGCUUGGCACUGAAUGUUGAACUUAUAUGUGUAGGAUAGGUGGGAGGCUUUGAAACCAGUACGCUAGUAUGGGUGGAGCCGACCUUGAAAUACCACCCUUAUAUGUUUGAUAUUCUAACUUAGCCCCGUUAUCCGGGGUGAGGACAGUGUCUGGUGGGUAGUUUGACUGGGGCGGUCUCCUCCUAAAGAGUAACGGAGGAGCACGAAGGUGGGCUAAUCACGGUUGGACAUCGUGAGGUUAGUGCAAUGGCAUAAGCCCGCUUAACUGCGAGAAUGACAAUUCGAGCAGAUGCGAAAGCAGGUCAUAGUGAUCCGGUGGUUCUGAAUGGAAGGGCCAUCGCUCAACGGAUAAAAGGUACUCCGGGGAUAACAGGCUGAUACCGCCCAAGAGUUCAUAUCGACGGCGGUGUUUGGCACCUCGAUGUCGGCUCAUCACAUCCUGGGGCUGGAGUCGGUCCCAAGGGUAUGGCUGUUCGCCAUUUAAAGUGGUACGCGAGCUGGGUUUAGAACGUCGUGAGACAGUUCGGUCCCUAUCUGUCGUGGGCGUUGGAAGAUUGAAAGGGGCUGCUUCUAGUACGAGAGGACCGAAGUGGACGAACCUCUGGUGUUCGGGUUGUAUCGCCAGAUGCAUUGCCCGGUAGCUAAGUUCGGAAUCGAUAACCGCUGAAAGCAUCUAAGCGGGAAGCGAGCCUUAAGAUUAGUCUUCCCAGGCACAUAUGUUGUCCUGAAGGGUUGUUCAAGACUAGGACGUUGAUAGGCAGGGUGUAUAAGCAUUGUGAAAUGUUAAGCUAACCUGUACUAAUUGCCAGGCUUAUAAUUUU